GGUCUGUGGCUCAGUGGUAGAGUGCUUGCCUAGCAUGUGUGAAGCACUGGGUUCAAUCCUCAGCACCA
rnacentral:tRNA from 1 species